rnacentral:rRNA from 1 species
UUAGGAAUCUUCGGCAAUGGGCGAAAGCCUGACCGAGCGACGCCGCGUGAAGGAUGAAGGCCCUCGGGUCGUAAACUUCUAAAAGAGGGACGAUAAUGACGGUACCUCUUGAAAAGCACCGGCUAACUCCGUGCCAGCAGCCGCGGUAAUACGGAGGGUGCAAGCGUUAUCCGGAAUCACUGGGCGUAAAGGGCGCGUAGGCGGCCUGUUAAGUCCGAUGUUAAAGACUGGGGCUCAACCCCAGCAUUGCGUUGGAUACUGGCAGGCUUGACGGUUGGAGAGGCGAGUGGAAUUACCAGUGUAGCGGUGAAAUGCGUAGAUACUGGUAGGAACACCCAUUGCGAAGGCAGCUCGCUGGACAACACGUGACGCUGAGGCGCGAAAGUGUGGGGAGCAAACCGG